CUUGAAUGUACAAGCACGACGCCCCCACAGACCCGAGCUCCCUUGCGACCGGCCACGACCACCUUUCCUUAAUAUGGCGACCCAACCUCAGCCGAGGCGACGCCGAGGUCGCGUAACCUCGGGCGAGUGACGAUGAGGCCGCCCAACCUCGGGUGCGCCUCUCUCGACUACGGCGUUAGGCAAGCCAGGCGGUAGAUCCAAAGUCCUCCCAGUCAACAAGCAAUCCAUGGAAGACCCAAACUCUUCCAGGUCGGUUCGAGCACGAAGAAAUGCAGAACGAUGACGACGAGAGAGAGGGAUAGGGAUCGCGAGCUGUUGAUUCCCGUCUCCGCCCUCCCCGAGAAUGGGGGCUCCAAGUCCUUGUCUCCGUCGUCCUCGCCUCCAUUGUUGUGGCACCCUCGUAUCAUCACUCCGGUCGAGAGAUUGAUGCAUUAGGAAAACAAAAUGCUUUGUUUCUCUGCGUAAUCUUGAAUCUCGUGGAGCACAGAAAAAGCGACUCCUCUGUUGUGGUGUGGGAUCCGGACUCUGCCCUCGAGUUUCCUUCUCCCUUGGCUUUCUAUGUUUCAGAAACUACACGACCCUGGUUUCAGCUGUUCCCCGAGUAUUAGAGGCAUGGCUCCAAUGACAAAACUAGAAAACACUAGCAUAUGCCUUUCUGGAGUUAAUGAGAUAAAAUCGAGGUCAAGUUAAGUAACAUGACUUCAUCCGACACGGUGUUCUUUUCCUUUCAUAGUCGGGUUCUGCUGCAUUGUGCACGCUCCAAUAUUUCUUCGUUACUUUGCAUCCGAUAGAAGACAUAUGAAAGAGCCCGAUGGGACUCGGCAAGCUCAACCUCCAGCAAAUGAUCCAAUUGUUGCUGAAGAUGGGACAGUGCACAAUUUGAAUGAAAACAUUGAGAUUAGAGCUGCAGAUGCUGUUGAAAAUGUGGACAACGAGGUGAUUAAUACAAUCUGACAAACUUGGCAUUGUUGUCAAAGAAACUCAGUUGGAACAAUUCUUUACACAUAUUACAUGAUGUAUGGCUGAGUUCUUUUUCUUCGAGAAGGCUCCUGGUAUGGGUUGGACAAUUUCAUCCUUUUGAUGGCAUUGCAUGGAAUCGGAUGCUAGCGGUGCACUUAUGAGUGGAAUUGCUAUUGGUGAGUAGACAGAGUUGGCGAGUUAAUUCUUGGAAGUGUUGGGAUGUGGAAAAGUGUUGGACUACACACCCGAAACAUGGUUAAAUGUAUGUGAAAUUGAGUUUCUUGAUGAGGUUGGGUUUG